AGGUUCCUUUGUUUCUAAAGCAUUAACAGGAACUGGGGACUGAAAGUGUCUCCCAGGUGUCUCCUCAGCAUUGAACAAUCUCUGAAGUCACUGCCUCCCAGCACUGCUCAGAUAAGACAUUCUCCAAAUUUUUGUGGAUUCCCCCAAACUCUAAUUAACAAAAGAAUGGAAAAAAGAAAAAGAACCUUCUUAAGAAAUAAGUAAGUAUGAAGCAUGAAGUUCUCUGUAUUUUAGCUUGGAAAACUCAACCCAACAAUAUUUGGAUGAGAAUAUUAAAGCUCCCUCUCUCCUUUACUUAUACUAUACAAUUAAAUGACUAGGCAAAGACCCUUAG
rnacentral:lncRNA from 1 species